rnacentral:rRNA from 1 species
AGAGUUUGAUCAUGGCUCAGAUUGAACGCUGGCGGCAGGCCUAACACAUGCAAGUCGAACGGUAACAGGAAGCAGCUUGCUGCUUUGCUGACGAGUGGCGGACGGGUGAGUAAUGUCUGGGAAACUGCCUGAUGGAGGGGGAUAACUACUGGAAACGGUGGCUAAUACCGCAUAACGUCGCAAGACCAAAGAGGGGGACCUUCGGGCCUCUUGCCAUCAGAUGUGCCCAGAUGGGAUUAGCUUGUUGGUGAGGUAACGGCUCACCAAGGCGACGAUCCCUAGCUGGUCUGAGAGGAUGACCAGCCACACUGGAACUGAGACACGGUCCAGACUCCUACGGGAGGCAGCAGUGGGGAAUAUUGCACAAUGGGCGCAAGCCUGAUGCAGCCAUGCCGCGUGUAUGAAGAAGGCCUUCGGGUUGUAAAGUACUUUCAGCGGGGAGGAAGGUGUUGUGGUUAAUAACCGCAGCAAUUGACGUUACCCGCAGAAGAAGCACCGGCUAACUCCGUGCCAGCAGCCGCGGUAAUACGGAGGGUGCAAGCGUUAAUCGGAAUUACUGGGCGUAAAGCGCACGCAGGCGGUCUGUCAAGUCGGAUGUGAAAUCCCCGGGCUCAACCUGGGAACUGCAUUCGAAACUGGCAGGCUUGAGUCUUGUAGAGGGGGGUAGAAUUCCAGGUGUAGCGGUGAAAUGCGUAGAGAUCUGGAGGAAUACCGGUGGCGAAGGCGGCCCCCUGGACAAAGACUGACGCUCAGGUGCGAAAGCGUGGGGAGCAAACAGGAUUAGAUACCCUGGUAGUCCACGCCGUAAACGAUGUCUACUUGGAGGUUGUGCCCUUGAGGCGUGGCUUCCGGAGCUAACGCGUUAAGUAGACCGCCUGGGGAGUACGGCCGCAAGGUUAAAACUCAAAUGAAUUGACGGGGGCCCGCACAAGCGGUGGAGCAUGUGGUUUAAUUCGAUGCAACGCGAAGAACCUUACCUGGUCUUGACAUCCACNGCCCGCACAAGCGGUGGAGCAUGUGGUUUAAUUCGAUGCAACGCGAAGAACCUUACCUGGUCUUGACAUCCACAGAAGAAUCCAGAGAUGGAUUUGUGCCUUCGGGAACUGUGAGACAGGUGCUGCAUGGCUGUCGUCAGCUCGUGUUGUGAAAUGUUGGGUUAAGUCCCGGUGAGACAGGUGCUGCAUGGCUGUCGUCAGCUCGUGUUGUGAAAUGUUGGGUUAAGUCCCGCAACGAGCGCAACCCUUAUCCUUUGUUGCCAGCGAUUAGGUCGGGAACUCAAAGGAGACUGCCAGUGAUAAACUGGAGGAAGGUGGGGAUGACGUCAAGUCAUCAUGGCCCUUACGACCAGGGCUACACACGUGCUACAAUGGCGCAUACAAAGAGAAGCGACCUCGCGAGAGCAAGCGGACCUCAUAAAGUGCGUCGUAGUCCGGAUUGGAGUCUGCAACUCGACUCCAUGAAGUCGGAAUCGCUAGUAAUCGUGGAUCAGAAUGCCACGGUGAAUACGUUCCCGGGCCUUGUACACACCGCCCGUCACACCAUGGGAGUGGGUUGCAAAAGAAGUAGGUAGCUUAACCUUCGGGAGGGCGCUUACCACUUUGUGAUUCAUGACUGGGGUGAAGUCGUAACAAGGUAACCGUAGGGGAACCUGCGGUUG